rnacentral:rRNA from 1 species
UACGUAUGGUGCAAGCGUUAUCCGGAUUUACUGGGUGUAAAGGGAGCGUAGACGGCGAGGCAAGUCUGAAGUGAAAGCUCGGGGCUCAACCCCGGAACUGCUUUGGAAACUGUUUUGCUAGAGUGCAGGAGAGGCAAGUGGAAUUCCUAGUGUAGCGGUGAAAUGCGUAGAUAUUAGGAGGAACACCAGUGGCGAAGGCGGCUUGCUGGACUGUAACUGACGUUGAGGCUCGAAAGCGUGGGGAGCAAAC